rnacentral:rRNA from 1 species
UACGUAGGGGGCGAGCGAUGUCCGGAGUUACUGGGCGUAAAGCGCACGCAGGCGGUCUGCUAAGUUUGGAGUGACAGUUGGUGGCUUAACUGCCAAAGUGCUUCGAAAACUGGCAGACUUGAGGGCUUCAGAGGGACACGGAAUUCCGGGUGGAGUGGUGAAAUGCGUAGAGAUCCGGAGGAACACCAAAGGCGAAGGCAGUGUCCUGGGGAGUACCUGACGCUCAGGUGCGAAAGCCAGGGGAGCGAACGGG